CAGUUGUGUUCAAAUACGGAAGUGGUUUGAUUAUCGUAGCCAUAUUUGUAUUAAAACUGACAUCUGUGAAGGAAAAGUCCCUUGGGCUCCUCACCCAGAAUUUUGUCAAGCUCUUCUUCACCAUGAAGGUUGAGACAAUCUCACUUUGACGAAGGUGCAAGGCUUCUCCUUGGAGACGGACAUGUAGAGAGCAACAUGAGAAGUUAGCGCAUGCAUUCCUUUUGUUUAGUUCCAUGUUUGUGUUAAAUGCCUUUUCUAUCCAAAUAGAACACACAAUGGACACAUG